rnacentral:rRNA from 1 species
GAUGAACGCUGGCGGCGUGCUUAACACAUGCAAGUCGAACGAUGAAGCCCAGCUUGCUGGGUGGAUUAGUGGCGAACGGGUGAGUAACACGUGAGUAACCUGCCCUUAACUCUGGGAUAAGCCUGGGAAACUGGGUCUAAUACCGGAUAGGAGCGCCUACCGCAUGGUGGGUGUUGGAAAGAUUUAUCGGUUUUGGAUGGACUCGCGGCCUAUCAGCUUGUUGGUGAGGUAAUGGCUCACCAAGGCGACGACGGGUAGCCGGCCUGAGAGGGUGACCGGCCACACUGGGACUGAGACACGGCCCAGACUCCUACGGGAGGUAGCAGUGGGGAAUAUUGCACAAUGGGCGAAAGCCUGAUGCAGCGACGCCGCGUGAGGGAUGACGGCCUUCGGGUUGUAAACCUCUUUCAGUAGGGAAGAAGCGAAAGUGACGGUACCUGCAGAAGAAGCACCGGCUAACUACGUG